CCGUCCGUCCCUCAGUAUAUCCAGUAAAAAAACUGUGGUGAAGUCCUUUAUGGGGAUAAAGUUUCCAGAGGUGAAUUUUUAAGUACCACAUAAUUUCUUACGCGCAGGGUUGCUUUUCAGCACUAAUGAAAGAAACUUAAGAAAAACUUAAAAGAAAAUGCAUAUAGUGCAUUAAUUUUUGAAAGAAAUGCCAUACUCCAUACCAUGUACUCUGAUUAUUAAUAUUAAAAAAUGUAUUAGAACUACCGUUUAAUGUUAUACUUGAUACAAAUUAAUUUUGCUACUCGGAACGCUCUGCGCAUUGCCACUGAAUACUUGAAAUUACAUACCUGGUCCUUGGUCUUUCUGUAUUGCAUCGUGGUGAAUUCACAUUUCUCAGAAAUUUGACAACAAAACAAAAUGAAGGGAGUAUUUUAUUUUCCAACUUUUGCGAUUUCUAUUGUUUAAUGUAAAUUUUAUGUCUUUUUAGGAUAUGUUGAGGCAACAAAGAGGGCGCAGUUGGAAAAUGAAGUUAUUAGUAUGAAGUAGCAUCUCAGGCACAUUUGGAAAAUUAUGCCUAUAAGCAAGAUGGAAUUUGGGAAAAAAUGCUAUAAAUCGAGUGGCGUUAUUUAAGAUGUGCUCCAAAUAUUUGGCGAACUUUCUUUUCGCCUUUUCAACGUGCUAAGUGACAAGAUAAGUUGACUGUUAUCACAGCCGGUAAGAAGCCCGAAGCAAAGGGAAAACUACCUUCCAGGAAGCUGCCUGCUGUCCCCGAGUCGAAGAUAAAGUUAAGCAGGAAGCAGGUAAGCAAACGUGCUACCCUGAUCAAGCGUAAACUAAAGCGCUCUGCUGUGAUUGCACUCCGCAAGCGUGAAAACUUGGAGCAUGCUGAGAAAUAUCAAGCAAAAUAUCUCCUGAUGGACGCCGUGAGAUAAAGUUGCGCCGUCUGGCAAAGAAACGCGGCCCAUUCUACGUGCCCGCAGAAUGCGGUAUCAACAAAGUUGCACCAAAAGUGCGUAAAGUUUUACUGUGGUUCCAUCUUCGCCACAUUAACAACGGUUUGUUCAUAGAAUUGAACAAUAUAACCAUUAAUAUGCUACGGAUUGCCGAACCCUAUAUUACAUGGGGCUAUCCAAAUCUUAUAUCAGUUCGUGAAUUGAUCUACAAACAUGGAAUGGUCAAGCACAACCAACGUGUCCCAAACUCUGACAACUUUGUGAUCGAACGCAAAUUGGACAAAGCGCACGAUAUUCAGUGCGUUGAUUAUUUGGCGCUACUGGAUUCCAGUUCAAGAAAGCCUCGAACUUACCGUGGCCACUACGUUGGGGUUGGUGAUUUCGGUAACCGUGAAGAUAAUAUCAACAAACUGCUGCGCAAGAUGGUUUAAAGAAAUUGUCUGGUGUACAAAGUGGAAUAUUUUUAUUUCAAAAAUAUAUAAUAAUAAAAAUAGAAAAUAAUGUUGUUUUUUUUUUGGAACUUUCUGAAAGUUUAACCCCCAAAUAUGCCAAAUAGAAGGCAGCUUAUAUUCACGAUUCCUUGAAUAAUGUCGAAAUUCCAUUGCCGUUUGUAAAGGCCAUUUCAGAAGGCUCCAUUCCACAAAUUUAAUUUGUUUUGGUUUUUCAGCUCAUUAACGAUGCACCCAGGAUUGCAUUUACCGUCUAUGAAAAUAUUUCA